rnacentral:lncRNA from 1 species
CAAAAGGGAAUAACAGAGGAUAUUGUAGAGGAUCAUAACAACAACAAUAAUUUGGUAUUAUUAUUAGUUGAUCUGAUCAUGAUCUAUUCUAUACACUCCAUUGUUUAUAUUCGUUGUGUCAUUUCCAUCAAUCCAGAUCCCCACGACUUCUAAUGCAAAAGGUUUGUUGUAUACUCGUUGGUCUAAAUUACUGUUUUUGUGUAGAACAUUGUUAUACUCAUCAAGACUCCCCUGUCCAAUAAGACCUCAAAAUUUAGUCACAAAAGGAUUAUAUUGAGGAUCUAUUCCACGAUUAGUUUCUAUAUAAAUGGACUUAAUUAUUUGAGGUGAUGCCAACUAUUAUUAGUUUCAUUUUCAGUAUCAUAGUAAUAAAUUUGUAAGAAUCUAGGUCGAUGAUCUACAGGUAGAAAUGGUGGAGUAUAGUGAUAUACCUAACCUCUAAUCAUGAAUGUAUAAAUACUAU